rnacentral:rRNA from 1 species
GACGAACGCUGGCGGCGUGCUUAACACAUGCAAGUCGAACGGAAAGGCCCCUUUGGGGGUACUCGAGUGGCGCACGGGUGAGUAACACGUGAGUAACCUGCCCUUGACUUCGGGAUAACUUCAGGAAACUGGGGCUAAUACCGGCUAGGAAUCCUUGCUGCAUGGUGGGGGUUGGAAAGCUUCGGCGGUUUUGGAUGGACUCGCGGCUUAUCAGCUUGUUGGUGGGGUAGUGGCUUACCAAGGCUUUGACGGGUAGCCGGCCUGAGAGGGCGACCGGCCACAUUGGGACUGAGAGACGGCCCAGACUCCUACGGGAGGCAGCAGUGGGGAAUAUUGAACAAUGGGCGGAAGCCUGAUGCAGCAACGCCGCGGGCGGGAUGACGGCCUUCGGGUUGUAAAACGAUUUCAGCAGGGGCGAAGCUUGUGGUGACGGUACCUGCAGAAGAAGCACCGGCUAACUACGUG